GUUUUUAUUAUUCCUAUAAGAAACAUACGAGAGAAAUUAUUAAUUUAAAUAUUAUUGAAUUUUUUGCUUUUAAUAUUUUCUUAUAUAAAAAAUAUAUCAUUAAAAUAAAUAUAAUUAAAAUAAAAAUUUAUUAAAUAAAUUUUUUGAUCCUUUAUAAUCACAUUAAUUAAAUAUAAUUGAUGAAUUAUUUACUAACAAUAAUAAAUACAAAUAACAGAUGGCGCUCCAUGUAUGCAAUAGAACGUACAUUAUCGAUAGACAAACGAUUUCUGUCGUCUUAACUAUGAAGUAGUUUCUGUUCGAGAUAUCGAAGUUCAAAAUUCUUCCCACUUCACUAUGGUUCGUAUAACUGUCGUCUUCGUGCUACUUCGACGCGCGUAAAAAACGCUCAGUUUAAUAUGCGGCAUAUAUUAAAUGCUUUGAAAAUCAAGCAUAUAACAGAGAAAAUUCCGGGAAAUGAAAUUGGAAGUGUGGUGAAUAAGUGUUGAGAGGAGAGUAGAAAGUAAAAAGAGAAAACAUGGUUGCAAAAACGGUCUUUUAAAUACGAGAGCGAAAGAGGAAGAGAAAUAGACGAGACUUCAGACUUCAGUUGGAUGAAAUUUCAUCGCAGGAAUUCAAUUAAAAAUAAUAUAAAGGAGGAUUAGAUUUCGGGAUAAAAACAUAGUUGUUCACUAAUAGAUAGAUAAAUAAAUACGUAAUUAGAUGAAAAGAUUUAUUAUCCUUGUUUAAUGUCUUUAUUUAGUGUAAUAAAAUGAAAUAAUAAUUCAUUUCGUAAAUAUUAUUCUGAUUCUUGAAUACAUUCUGAUUCUUAUUAAUAAUUUUAUUGAAUAUUUUAAAUAUCCUCCGCAAUAAAUUAAUUUAUGGAAUAAAGAAUAAAAAAACAUGAAUAUUACGUAAAUAUUGUUAAAGCUCUCAUAUCAUAUGCGUUGAAGAAAUUAUGAAGUUUAAAAUUACAGUGUAUUUAAUUAAAUAAAAUUUGAAGUAUUAACGAGAUAUUAAUUCCAUGUAAAAUUCAAAUAACUAUAUAUUAAUCUAAUCAACCGGAUUGCCACUGUGUUUUCAGUUUCUCAAGUUUAGGUUAAGAAUAGUGAAGCGGAUUCAUAAAAAGAAAUGGGAUCGAAUUAAGAAUGGAAAUAUCUUAAUACUUCAGAGGAUAAAAAAGAAAGAACAACAACCGCCAUCAGCAGAAAAUUGGAGAUAGACCAAAAAGUUUUUACGACUUCUUAUUGUUUCAAUGACAAUUAAAAGAAGGCUAAAACGGUUGAGAGAGGAAUUUUCACCAGGAAAAAAGAUAGUAUUUGAAAGACAAGGGGCGAUGGUAAACUUUCUCGCCAUGUACCGGAGGAAAAUUCGUUCAAAAUGGUUUGAAUUCUUGUCUCGGAAGACGAACGAUCGACGCGAUUUCGGAAUACUGAUGCGUCACGCGGAAUAUCGAAGGGGAUCACUUGUUUCUCUAUUCCUAACCUCUUCGGCUCCCUUUUACUUUCGUCUUUCUUCAAUAGGGUAGAAAAACGAAUGUGGUUUGAAAAACAUUGUAUAACUCUCGUAAAAAAUAUCGCAGAAAUAAUAAUAGCAAGUGAAGUUGUUAUGCGUAAUAUAUUUUUAUUAUUUUUAAUGUAAAUUUUUAAGAAUAUAAUAUUAUAUACAUAUAUAUAUAUAUAUAUAUAUAUAUAUAUAUAUAUCUUGUUUAAUUUGGUUAUAUUUGAUUAUGAUGCAAUAUUUAAGAAAAAAUUGAUUAGAUAUAUAAUAAAAAUUAUUUUCAUUAAUUUAAAUAAUUUAAAUAAAAAAUUUUAAUUUAAUGUUAAUAUAAAAUUUCAAAAGAUGGAAAAUAUUUUUAUGUGGUAUUGGUUUAAUUAAUGAUUAUAUUUUAAUGUUAAAAAAGAUUUUAAUAAUUUUCAUUUAAAAUACAAUGAAUUAUACAAUGUUAAUAUUACACAAUUUACAUUUAAUCAUAAUUAUACGCAUGUUCUUCAUUUACAAUAUUCAUUUAUUAUUAACUUUUAUGCAUAUACAAGUCACUGCUAUUCAAGUAACUGAAUUUUUUAUAAUUAAAAGAAAAAAAGCACACAAUAGCAUUUUUAAAAUACCUUAGUUUAUAUAGAAUUAAUAAAUAAAUAAUUCCUUGGAGAUUAUAUUCAUAAUUCUUUUUGAAUUAUAAAAGUAUGCAUAAUAAAUUCCUGUGAAUGAUAUAUCUUCAUAUCUUCAUAUCUUCAUAUCUUCUAAAUUGAUUCUAUGUUCAUAAUGUUAGAGAGUGAAGUUAGAGAGAUUAUUUUUUAUUCAGAUUUUUCUAUGAUAAUUCGAUUUUUCUCAUAAAUAUUUAUAGUGACUUAUUUUAAUUUUAGUUAUUUUUGUUAUAUUUUAACUUAUUUGUUGUCCAUUAAACUUAUCUCAUUAUCAUUUGCUGAUAAGAAAUUAUUUUUUUUAUUGAAUUUAUUAAAAUUUGAGAACAGAAAAUGAGAAAUUUGGUCGGAAUUAUGGCAAAAAAAUAAAAAAUAAUGAGCAGCGGUUUAAAAGAAGAUCGAUAAACAACGGGAAAUGAAACAUCCUUUUUUUUCCCUCCAGUUUAACGUUUAGCCGCGGAAAUGCGCUCUUGAAAGUUUAACUCUCCUCGUUUACCCGUUUAUCACGGCAACAAACACUCUCCGGAUUCUUGGCAGCCAUUCGAUUUUUAGCGGAUAAAUGGUUCCUUUGGGAAUACCCCUUAAGAUGUAUCUAAAUAGAAAAGUUGAAACGUUGAAACAUUAUUUUGUGAUUAUUUAAACGUUUGAUUUUUUUCAUGAAAUGUCAAUUUGAAUGAUAAUAUAAAAUAAUAAUUAAUGAAUUAAGUGUUUAAUGAUAAAUAAUUUUUUUUUUCAAGUAAUAAAUUUUUAUGGAAAUAUAAUUGUACAAAGGAAACGAUAAAAUAAAUUUGAGAAAUGUAUUAAAUUGAUAAUAUAAAUUAACCAAAAGAUGGACAGAUAGACAGAUGGAGAAACCGUACGAUGUAUGUUAUUGGAUUACUAGAUUAGAGUCACGUGUCAAUUGUACAUAAUUUUCUCUGAAUGGUAUUUUUCUAGGGGAAAUACAAUUACAAAUCAUUUUCCAUUAUCUCAUAUUUCAUUCGAUCAUAGUAAAUUCUAUAACGCAAUAAUCAUAGAAAUUUCAUUGUAUCUUUUAUUUAUUUAUAAUAUAAUUUUCAUUAUUUAAUUAUUAUUAUUUUAUUAAAUUCAGAUAUUAAAAAAAUCGCAAGAAAAGAAGAAUAUAAUUGGAAGCAGAUGAAACUUUCUAGAAAUAAGAGGUGAAAUUUCUACAAAAGGAAGAGACAGAGAGGGAGAGAAACAUUUGGAGUGGUUCCGCGGUGGUGAACGGCGACGACGACCGCAAAUUCUAUUUGGCCCGAUGGAAAACGCACACCGUAUGCCGCGAGGGGUUGCAACUCACUGCUUUCAUCCUGUAACCUUCCUUAUUUCCUUGGUUGCGCGCUAGUCGCUGGAUUCUAAUGGAUUCCCGACCCGUAAAUCCUGCCGCUAGGAAACCACCUCUCCCUCCUGCAUCGAUUACCAUCGGAAAUAUUUUUGGAAAUAACAGUUUGAAGAUAAACAGAUCAAUGAAAAUGUCCAUGUUUUUUUUGAGAGAAUUAUAAUUGCAAAUCUCGUAUGGCUUGAAUUUUAUUUUGUGGAUAUUCAGAAAAAUAAUAAAAAUCUUCAAUAUGAUUAUAUUUCAUUAUCGAAAUAAAAUCAAUUUUCAAGUGUCAUAUGUCAUCUAAAAACAAGAUAUUUCUUGAGGAAAUUCCUGAAAAUUCUAUCUCAUUUGUGACUAAUUCACAAUAAAGCACUCCGCAAAAUUUCGUCCAUUUCUCGAAAAUCCUAUCCACGUUUCGACGAGUUCCGGUCGGAAUAGUCCCCGAAAUUUCAUCUUGCCUCGACCAAGUUCCAUGUGUACAUCCCUACGUACAGAGAUUGUCACAACAAUCGGAAGAAAGAGGCCGGUAGCAGGUGGUUCGCCCUCCGUUUUAUGAGCGGUCGCCAAAGGGCAGUAUACCGGAUGUCGUUUACAUGCGAAUCGCUCAUCGGGGAGAAACUCUAGCUUGGAUAAAGUCUGGAUUUAAAUGGGCCCGAAAUUUAUGCUAACUCACCGAUUCGACGUCCUUCGUUGAACGUCGAUGACGAGAAACGAAUAGAGGUUUGGUGGAGCUCCGAUUCCCCUGUCCCAUUUCUUUUUAUUUUUCUUCGUUUCUUUGUUCGGUUUCAGAAUCAUUUAGGGAGAGUUUUUGUACAUAUAAUAUUGAUGUGUAAUUCAGUUCAUUUUUGAUAAGAAAAUUAUAGAGAUUGAUUUUAUUAAUCCAUGUUGAAUAAGUUUGAUUUUAAUGGUAUGGAUCAAUUUUGAUCUGUUAAAUGAUUAAUGAUUUAAUUUAUUAAAUGGUUGUAAAAUCAUUCAGGAAAAGGAGUUAAAUGUAUUGUUAAAUAAUAUUUGUUACAUAUCAAUUGAAAGCUUAUAGCUGGAUGAAUUAUUUUAUUAAUUUUUUAUUAUAAAGAAAUAAAUUUACAUGUAAUGA